rnacentral:rRNA from 1 species
GAUGAACGCUAGCGGCAGGCCUAACACAUGCAAGUCGAGGGAGAAGCCCUUUCGGGGGCAGAAACCGGCGCACGGGUGCGUAACGCGUAUGCAACCUACCUUUCACAGGGGGAUAGCCCGAAGAAAUUUGGAUUAAUACCCCAUAAUAUUAUUGGAUGGCAUCAUUUGAUAAUUAAAACUGCGGUGGUGAAAGAUGGGCAUGCGUCCUAUUAGCUAGUUGGAGUGGUAACGGCACCCCAAGGCUACGAUAGGUAGGGGUCCUGAGAGGGAGAUCCCCCACACUGGUACUGAGACAGGGACCAGACUCCUACGGGAGGCAGCAGUGAGGAAUAUUGAUCAAUGGUCGGAAGACUGAACCAGCCAUGCCGCGUGCAGGAAGAAUGCCUUAUGGGUUGUAAACUGCUUUUAUAUGGGAAGAAUAAGGCGUACGUGUACGUUGAUGACGGUACCAUAUGAAUAAGCAUCGGCUAACUCCGUG